UGCAAGUCGAGCGGUAGAGAGAAGCUUGCUUCUCUUGAGAGCGGCGGACGGGUGAGUAAUGCCUAGGAAUCUGCCUGGUAGUGGGGGAUAACGUUCGGAAACGGACGCUAAUACCGCAUACGUCCUACGGGAGAAAGCAGGGGACCUUCGGGCCUUGCGCUAUCAGAUGAGCCUAGGUCGGAUUAGCUAGUUGGUGGGGUAAUGGCUCACCAAGGCGACGAUCCGUAACUGGUCUGAGAGGAUGAUCAGUCACACUGGAACUGAGACACGGUCCAGACUCCUACGGGAGGCAGCAGUGGGGAAUAUUGGACAAUGGGCGAAAGCCUGAUCCAGCCAUGCCGCGUGUGUGAAGAAGGUCUUCGGAUUGUAAAGCACUUUAAGUUGGGAGGAAGGGUUGUAGAUUAAUACUCUGCAAUUUUGACGUUACCGACAGAAUAAGCACCGGCUAACUCUGUGCCAGCAGCCGCGGUAAUACAGAGGGUGCAAGCGUUAAUCGGAAUUACUGGGCGUAAAGCGCGCGUAGGUGGUUUG
rnacentral:rRNA from 1 species